rnacentral:tRNA from 1 species
CGGAAUUUAGCUCAGUGGUAGAGCGCUUGCCUAGCAAGCGCAAGGCCCUGGGUUCAAUCCUCAGCUCCGG